rnacentral:rRNA from 1 species
AACGAACGCUGGCGGCAGGCUUAACACAUGCAAGUCGAACGCCCCGCAAGGGGUGUGGCGCUCGGGUGGGUAGCGUGUGGCUAACUGCCUCUUGGUUCGGAAUAACCCCGGGAAACUGGGGCUAAUACCGGAUGGUUCCUACGGGAAAAAGAUUUAUCGCCAAAAGAUGAGUCCGCGUACGAUUAGCUAGUUGGUGAGGUAAUGGCUCACCAAGGCGACGAUCGUUAGCUGGUCUGAGAGGCCGAUCAGCCACACUGGGACUGAGACACGGCCCAGACUCCUACGGGAGGCAGCAGUGGGGAAUAUUAGACAAUGGAGGCAAGCCUGAUCCAGCCAUGCCGCGUGAGUGAUGAAGGCCUUCGGGUUGUAAAGCUCUUUUGGCGGGGACGAUGAUGACGGUACCCGCAGAAUAAGCCCCGGCUAACUUCGUG